AAGGAGAGGAGCAGGCUUGUCUCACUCCCUCUGCUUCUUUGCUGGAUGGAACUGUGAUCUAGUCAGAUGGAGCUUUUAUCUGCUUUUUCAGGCUGAAGGUUUGAACCACCAGCCUUUUUGUUACAGAACAACAGAGAAGCGUUCAGUUACUUCCUUAAGAGCUGCUUUGGCUGGAAAGAUGGACGGACGGACGGACAGAUGAUAGAUAGAUAGAUAGAUAGAUAGAUAGAUAGAUAGAUAGAUAAUCUUUUUUCUCCACUCUGUUCAUGGGUAACCUGCACUCAGAUUCAUUCAUUCCUGUCUUCUUUUUGAUCAACAGACUGCAAAACUGCAUGUGUGUCUUUGUGACAACUGCUGGUCAUCAGAAUAUUGAUGUAGGACUUACCAGGACUUGAGGGUGAAGGCACUAUUGGAACUUCAGCCAGGCCUCAUGCCAAUGCCCAUAUUACAGAUGCUGAUGCCAGACGUUCCGCAGGUUGUAUAGCAACCCAUGACUGGGACCACUGCUUUCUGGAGCCACACUGUGAAAGCGGGUCUGGUCUCAUGGGGUUGGGAGCGGAGCUGGCCACAGGUUAGCGUCCAGAAACAGACAAAGACCAGCAACAGAUCUGCCAAGCGCACGUGAUCCUACUGUAUGCAGAGAAGCCUUUAAAGAUAUCACCUGUCAGUACCAGCACAUGCCCAGCAGAACCUAUCCCAGUACUGGUGUCAUGUGACCAGGGCCUUUGAACUGCUGAGACAGGUGACUGAAACAUGUGAGACACAGAGUCUAACCUUCUCAGUGUCGGGCAGAAAACAGACUGAACUGCACAAAACUCUGUGCUGACGGGCAGUGGACAAGGGUAACUGUGCUGAUGGCCAGUGGACAAGGGUAACUGUGCUGUUUUGCAUGCACAGUCUUCAGAACUAAACUGCCAUCCCAGCUUUCCGGCAGUACAUUAACAGGGACUCCAUAAGAACCUGACAGAGCGAGAGACUCAACCAGGACUCAGCAGGGACAGACUGAGAGUGAAGUCUUAAGCGUGCUGUGGGUGUUUCUCUGGCAGUGUCUUAGCUGGUUGUUGUGAGGAGUGAGAACGAAGCAAUCAGCAAGUAUACUGCCGUAGAAACUCCUCACCCAGUCUCCGGCUUACUAUGGGUAGUCAAGGAAACAAGCAAGGAAAACUUAAGGAAGAGUUGUACACAUCCCACAUGAAGAAAAAUCAAGGGUUCAUUAUUAAAUAAUUUGCUGGUGAAUUUGGAAAUGUGUGCUUGUACGUGAGGGGUGGGGGGGGGACAGUUUCCAGGAGAUCAUGGAUCACUUUUGAGAUGGAAUAGACAGUGAUCUUGGUGAAACUCCUGCGAUGUCUGUAGUUAUAGGAUGAAUGCUUCAUGUGCAUUCUCUUAUUGUCCAUUAUGGGAUUUUAAAGUGUGUGAUCACAUUCAAUAGUGUGUAUCACAGAGGUGUUCCACUUCAGUACUGGGGAUUGGGUAAUCCAUUUGGCUCUUUCCCUGCCUGGACUGUGAAUUAGUUUUGACUUAAUCUGUAUGACUACCUUACUUUGCCCUAGUGCUGCAGUGGAUGUGGAAAAUAUAUGAUCGCAGAAGAGCAGGGUUAUGUAGGAUUUUGGCUCCACCUUGUGGUAGAUAUAUGGUAUUAUUUAUGUACGCUAGAUCCACUACCAGUCAUACAGGAAAUUUACUUUUAAUUGUUUGAAAAAUACUUUUGUGAAAUAUUACAGAUAUCCAUAGUGCUUUUUUGAAAUGAGGUAUUCAAAUGCAAUUUAAAUGUUUCCUUUUUCCCUAUGUUGUACCAAUGCCAUGUAGACAUCACAAGUUCAUCUAAGUUUAUAAAUUUGAAUUUGGAUUGAUUUAAAUGUCCCUCAGAGUGCAUCAGAACUUCAAUUUAAGAACUUAAUGUUUCUCACACAGAUGUGCAUCUUAAGUACUGUAGUUUCUAAAUAGUCUAUUAGAAGAUAUAAAAAGUAUAUCACAUAUAAUUCUGGCAGCUGCAUGCUCUUAAUAUAAGGAAAUGUUAUCGUGUGUGGUGGAUACAAAAGAGAUUGCUUGUGAUGGGAGAAAUGGAAAUGUACUGGUUAGGCACUGACUGUAACUGAAUCCAUGAAUGUCAAUUAUAAGAAAUUAGAUUAUUGUGGUCAGUUAAGCACUGUGACCCACAGAUGGCAGUGUAAUAUAGGCUGAUACAACUACCUCUGAACUACUGAUGGGUGUAGACAAUGAAAAAAGAGUGUUUAGUGUGACAUCAUCUAACAAGCUGGUUGUAGUCAUCUGCAGCAUGGUCUGUGGGCAGUUGUCCAGUAUUUUCUGCCUUAUUUUAAACAUAAAAAUGUGAAGUAAGAUUCUCAUCCUGUCCAGCAUGUAGCCUGUAUUACGUCAUGUGCUGUGUGGGACGUCCUCCAUACCCCCUACAAUCCUGCUCAGGAUAAGUUGUGAAAGCUGGUUGGAUGGAUGGAUGGAUGGAUGGAUGGAUGGAUGGAUGGAAAGUAUGCUCUGUGGUGAUCUGGAGCAGAAGCAGCUUCAGCUGGUCGCCUUUAGACUUUCCUUAACAUCAGCAGCACUUGUUUAAACAUGAUUCUGCAAUACUGCAUGCUGUGUCUGUGAUGUUGAAUGUGAAAUCAAUCAACAAAUAAAGAGUCACUCAGCAGGCAAA